GGCUGAUGCCCCAGUGCCACACCUGGAAUGUACCCCAUGGAAACUCACACUUGACUCAAAGUUUGUGCCCCAAGCAAACAGGUCAUGAGGCAAAGAUUUGCGCGCAGGAAGUCUGUUGGGGAGUGCUCCCGAGAUCAACAGUAAGUUGUAAGAUCAACAGCAGUAAGGGUGGCAGGCAGGCAGGAAUGUGCAGAGGGAGAAGCUGAACUGCAAGGAAGUUACUACUGAGGUCUCAGCUGUUUCAUGAGGAGCUGUGGAACUGGGAGGAACCUGCAGAAAUGUCCCAGUUGAGGUGAGGCUGAGUUAUAAAGUAAUCUCUACACCCAAUGUGGAGCUCAGACCUACAACCCUGAGAUCAAGAGUCAACAUGCUCCACCAACUGAGCCAGCCAGGAUAGAAUGAAGCAGAUGCCAAAAGAGGGACAGAGAAGAUACUGAAGGAGUGGGGGGAGUGACAUCUUCCACCUGGGGACUCCAGGCAGCUUUCUGGAGAAGGUUUCAGACCAACUCCCUAUGUACUCACUUCAUCUGACCUGAAGCUUUUCUACCUGGCUGCCCACCCCCAGUGAUGCUGAAGAUCCUGGUUCCCACCCCACCCUGGAGGAUUUCUUGGUGGCAUGUGCCAAGGAGAGAGUUUGAGCGGUCACUCUCUACCAUGAAGCCCCAGCUCGUGCUCAUUUUUUCAGACCUGACUUGCCAGUCUGGUUCCAGCCCAUUGUGAAACUGAAUAAAAGAAACUUAAUUUAAAAUGGAGUGGGGAGGGGCGCCUAGGUGGCUCAGUGGGUUGAGUGUCUGACUUUGUCUCAGGUUAUGAUCUCACAGUUCACGAGUUCGAGACCUGCAUCGCUCUGUGUUCAACACAGAGUAUGCUUUGGAUCCUCUGUCCCCGCCCCCCCUCACUUCACUGCCCCUCCCCUGCUCACACUCUCUCUCAAAAAUAAAUAAACAUUAAAAGUAAUAAACAAAAAACAAACAAUAAUUAGUCAGAAAGACAAAUAUCAUAUGACUUCACAUAUAUGAGGACUUUUAGAUACAAAACAGAUGAACAUAAGGCAAGGGAAGCACAAAUAUAAAAAACAGGG